CGUGCCAGCAGCGUCUAAUGCACGUCCUUCUUAUUGUGCUGUAAUUAAGAUGAUGACGUUGGUGAUGACACGAUGGCGCAGUUGAGCUAUUGGAUUUUAAGAGUGAUCUAAGCAACAUAAGUAAUUUACAGCAAUGAAGCUAAUAAGUAUAACCCGUAAAAACAAAGUUUUUCACUAUAAAUCCUUUAUAUGCGUGGCGGCUAGAGUCUUCUCGUCCUCUGGCUUGAGAUGGCUUGCCACCUAUGGGUCAGAUGAUUGUCUGCCAGUAUUAAGCAAUUGGUAAUUAAAUAUUUAAUUUGUUUUCCCUAAACAGUGUAAAAAUUUUGAAUUUUUUUUCACGAACAUUAAUUGUCUCACAACGAGUCUGUGUGCAAAAUGUCAGCUCGAUUGGAUCACGGGAAGUGGGUAAAAAAACGACCGAAAGAUUUGCACGGUCGCACGCACGCAAGCAAGCAAGCGAACUUAAUAUAAAGGAUUUAAAAAGUGAUUGAAGGAAAACAACUACGUCCCAUGAAAACCGCAAAUAUUGCAUUUUCAUAAUUAAUGGUUUAUAAAUUCUCUGUAGCCUGAGUCGAUUCGAUUAUUUUAGACUGAUCGUGGUAUAAUUACAAGUAACAUGAACAUUAAACAGAUAUAAGGUGGCUAUUGCACUCAACUGUAAACACGCGUGGAUAUUCGAGUCACGAGCAAUUGCAGGUGAAGUUAUCGUCAAGAAUCGACAGCUCGGCAUCGAAUUGCGAUGGAGAUGGGAGGGAAACCACGGACAUUUGUGAAGCGUUCGAAUUCCAGGCGUUUGGGGCAUUCCCAGAUGAUUGGGAACCACGUGUGCCAUGUGAAACUGGCCAAACAUCUCGGCGCAGGAUACUGGGAGAGAUUAGUGAGACUCGGUGACACUGCAGGAGGAGUGGCGCUGCGGUGAUCGGAGUCGUUAACGCGAGAACUGCGUCUACGCGCGGCAGUGAGAGACGCGAGCUGCUGGCAAAUCACGUGGCGAGGAUUCUCGUGAUGCCUUCGUCUGCUGCUGCCAUGGAGGAUCUGAGCGCUGUGAUGGACAUCUUUGUGUGCGAGUUCUGCGCCAACUGUGAAGGAGGCGCGGGGAGUGUCUCCAUGAGGAAGUACACGCUCCAGAAUCUGCUCGUGAAGCACAUGCGGCUCUACCUGGCGGGUGCAUAACCCGGAUGAAGUGCGCAAGAUCAUGGAAUCUUCACGAGACCCAAGGCGCCAGCGUGGACUUCCAAGCGUCUUAUUUGACAGACAACUGCUCUUUAGUUACUGUACAGUUUACUGAUAGACGGCCAGUUUUGUUUUAUCAUGUUUAGCUUUUUUCACACGCUGGUUUCCUGCUUUAAUUUUUACCCACCAAGCAACGUAGCAGGAGGCUGUUUCUUCCUGACCUGCUUUUUUGCUUUUACAUCCACAUGGCAGGGGAUCCGGUACCAUUUAGCAGCAGCUGCACUUUAACAACUCUGGCACCCCCCCCCUCAGCCAGUUAUGUAGACAAGCCGGAGCUUCAGCCACACCAACCUUGCCAUAAUAAUAAAACACGCCUAAUCCAGGGGCCUGCCCUGGCUCCUCCCCCCUCAACCAGUAUAUAUACGGGGUCAGAUCUCUUGGAAUUUCUCAUUUACUUGAUGCAGCGAGCGUGCUGUGACUGCUCCACCUGAAGACAGAGGCUUGUGUUGCCUCUGAAACGUCGUGAUUUAUAUUUUAUUUUUAUUUUACUUUCAAUAAUUUUAAUUUUUUUACCUACGCGACUUUACCGAAAAAACCCAAGAAUAUGGACUUCCAAGCUUUUGUGGACGGGGAUCCUCGUGGCCGGCCAUCCCCCGUUCCAGGAGUGUUCCUCCCCAAGGGGCCCUGUGGCCCACCCAUUUCUGCUGAUAAGCCCAAAUCAAUCUAUAUAUGAAAUCGCAAGUCUGUCUGUGUCGCCGGACCAUACGCAGUUUCAUUGGACGAAAUGUGAGGGAUUUGCGAAACAUGAUUGGUCCAUUUGGUUUACCACGGCGGUUGCCCCUGGCAACGGGUAGCGACGCAUUCGCUGCAGGGUGGACGCCAUUUUUAAUUCCUGUUAAAAAUAUGUGCACGCAUUAACACGCGACUGAGGUAAAUUCAUCAGUUUCACGUCCUCUUCACUCCCCCCCCCCCCCUCCCCCCACCACAAUGUGUGCAAUUACUAUUAUAGGGUCGGUAAAUAAUAAAAUUGUAGCGAUUACACAGUAUUAUUGUAAUGCGCGGGGGGGGGGGGGGGUAACGGCCCCAGUACCCAGCCUCAGCUGGUUGGGCAAUUUAGGCGAGGCCGGAGGCUCUGCACGGUACUAGGCCUCGACACCCCACCACACUAUAGGCCGUACAUACUACUGCACAGCGGCUGAGGAGAUCAUGGCUGGGGGGGGGGGGCAGGGGUAGCAGCCCAUCUGUGUAUAUAUGUAAGGUUAUUAAAAAAUAUAUUUUUCACCUGGGCAACGCUGGGUACUUCUGCUAGUUUAUAUAUAAAAUGAAGACUAAUAAAA